UUUGAGCAAGAAUGAUGAUACAAUUAGAUGUGUUAAAGGUGAAGACCUUAAUGAACUCAACAAAUUGAGGCAUUAUUCAUUCAUACUACCUGACUUGCUCCGU
rfam:Daucus carota subsp. sativus cultivar DH1 chromosome 6, whole genome shotgun sequence.